AGGUAUUGUUCUCUUGCCGUGGAAACAAUCCCGGCACUGGGGCCAGCCAGGAGGGAGCGGGGCUGGAUACUUCAUUUGGCAGCUCUUAUGACAUCCUGUAUGGCAGGGCAGCCUCCGGGGGACACGUUUUGUGCUGUGCCCUCUGCAAACAGCGCUCAGGAGGGCAGGGUGAGCUGCUUCCGACCAAGGGGCACAAGCCCAGGCUGCUCACCAAGAUCUAUGGGGGCUGGAGGUGGCUUCCCUCUGUGGAGACAUCCAGGCACCGCCUGACAGGCAAUGGGACACUCUGGAGACAGGGAGGUGGCCCAGAAUCCAUCACAACAUACCUGAAAGAACACCUCUGACCACACCCUUCCAACCCUGCAUCACAACAUACCCAAAAGAACACCUCUGACCACACCCUUCCAACCCUGCAUCACAACACACCCAAAAAACACCUCUGACCACACCCUUCCAACCCUGCAUCCAUCCACUCCAUCAGGCCCCACUGGAACACAGCCCAGGUUGGGAGCAGUUGCCUUGCACAGCUCCAGGCAGAGAUCAGCCUUUCCACAGGCGCCUCUCCUUCGGUUUGAUGCUUUCCUUUUGCCCAAGGGACCUGGAAACAAGCUGCACUGGACUCACAGUGGCCAGCUUGAAUAGAAUAAACCCUCCUCCAAGUGUUUUUCAUUCCUGGCCAGCCAUGCUCGUUAUCCAAGACUACAGGAGUUAAAAUUGCAUUUCCUCAGAGAGAAGACACUCAAAGUGAUCAAAUUCAAGGACAAAAGUUGACAGAGCCACCCAAAGCAGCUCUUGACAGCCUGAGCCUUCGCCAGGGCCAGACCAGAGCCUCUGUCCCAGCUGGGCUCAGGGUGACCAAGCUGGAUGGAUGGGACAACAUCAACCUUGCAGCUUCCCUUCCUUCUGCUGACCAGGGACAGGACGCCAGGAAACAGCUGCAGCUGUGACAGGAGCUCAGCCCUUGCCUCAGCCAAAGAGUUUCAUCUUGUAAGAGAUGGGAACAGAGCAGGACAGAGAGGAGAUGUUCCCACACACAGGGACCUGGCAGAGCACCACACUGAGCUGCUCCCUCCAGGUGCCAGGUUAUGGCCAUCCCAGUUUGAGCUGAAGGAAGCUGAAGCUCGUGACCUGUCACAAAGAUGCAGGUGAUGAUGAAAUGGUGGGGACCACCUUACAACACUUUUCAACGUUCCCAAUCUCCCUUAUCAGGGAAGGUUGGGAGAGGGAGGCUUCCAAACCCUUGUAGGUGAUGGCACAACACCAAAUUCAGCUGGCAUGUGGGGAAUGGGAAAUCAGCAUCAAAGCACAGGGCCAGCAGGCAGCAAAAUGGGAUUAUACAGAUUCAUGGGCU